CAGCAGUGGGGAAUAUUGCACAAUGGGGGAAACCCUGAUGCAGCGACGCCGCGUGGAGGAAGAAGGUCUUCGGAUUGUAAACUCCUGUUGUUGAGGAAGAUAAUGACGGUACUCAACAAGGAAGUGACGGCUAACUACGUGCCAGCAGCCGCGGUAAAACGUAGGUCACAAGCGUUGUCCGGAAUUACUGGGUGUAAAGGGAGCGCAGGCGGGAGAACAAGUUGGAAGUGAAAUCCAUGGGCUCAACCCAUGAACUGCUUUCAAAACUGUUUUUCUUGAGUAGUGCAGAGGUAGGCGGAAUUCCCGGUGUAGCGGUGGAAUGCGUAGAUAUCGGGAGGAACACCAGUGGCGAAGGCGGCCUACUGGGCACCAACUGACGCUGAGGCUCGAAAGUGUGGGUAGCAAACAGGAUUAGAUACCCUGGUAGUCCACACCGUAAACGAUGAUUACUAGGUGUUGGAGGAUUGACCCCUUCAGUGCCGCAGUUAACACAAUAAGUAAUCCACCUGGGGAGUACGACCGCAAGGUUGAAACUCAAAGGAAUUGACGGGGGCCCGCACAAGCAGUGGAGUAUGUGGUUUAAUUCGACGCAACGCGAAGAACCUUACCAAGUCUUGACAUCCUGCGACGCACAUAGAAAUAUGUGUUUCCUUCGGGACGCAGAGACAGGUGGUGCAUGGUUGUCGUCAGCUCGUGUCGUGAGAUGUUGGGUUAAGUCCCGCAACGAGCGCAACCC
rnacentral:rRNA from 1 species